CCUGCAGCCCUGGGCGGCCUCCACGUCUCCUUUAUUGCAGUGCUCUCUCCUUCUCCAGGCGCUGUGCCCUAAUUGUCCCCGCAGGAAAUAAUGGCUGGCGGGGCAGCCGGGUCGCGCGGAGGCCACAGACCUCUGGGUCUUAGGUGCUAGAGCCCGCCCUUCUCCCGCCCAGUCAUAGAUAAUUUGUCCCGGCAGGAAGUAAAGGCCGGCGGGGCUGUCCCAGCUGCUGGGGAAUAGGCGGGUGCGGGCUCCGCCGCGGCGCAGGGGAGACAACGGAGAGGGUGCUGAGCUGGAGGGAGCUUCUGCGCCAGCCCCGAGCACAAAGCUCUUGAAAAGGACAUCAAGUGCGAAGUGAAUCAGCUCACUCCCAGGCAGUACUGGAACCAUGAGCAGUAACGGAACAGACCUGACCGUUGGUUUUGUGUCCUCUUCUGUAGCUGUCCUUUUGUUUGGCUCAAACUUUGUACCACUUAAAAAAUACGAUACUGGUGAUGGAAUGUUUCUCCAGUGGGUACUUUGUGCUGCCAUAUGGUUGAUUGCCGUGGUGGUCAAUCUGAUACUACAUUGCCCUAAAUUUUGGCCUUUUGCAAUGGUUGGCGGCUGCAUUUGGGCAACAGGGAACAUUACUGUUGUCCCAAUUAUCAAAACCAUUGGUUUAGGCCUUGGAAUCUUAAUCUGGGGAUCAUUUAAUACCUUAACUGGCUGGGCAAGCUCAAGGUUUGGCUGGUUUGGAAUGGAUGCAGAAGAAGUAUCAAAACCGGUGCUAAAUUACGUCGGAGCUGGAUUAUCAGUAGUGAGUGCUUUCAUAUUUUUGUUCAUCAAAAGUGAAAUACCAAAUAACAUGUGUUCUGUGGACACCACACCAUUAAUGACAGAUCAUGUGAUCAACAGCACUCAAGAUUCCUGCCCUGACUAUUCCUGGGUGGAUAAACUUUCUACAGCACACCAGCGCACAGUGGGCUGCACUCUUGCAGUGAUAUCUGGAAUACUCUAUGGGUCUACAUUUGUGCCCAUCAUUUAUAUCAAGGACCACAGCAAAAGAAAUGACAGUAUAUACGCAGGGGCAAGCCAGUAUGAUUUAGACUACGUUUUUGCACACUUCAGUGGCAUCUUUUUUACAAGCACAGUCUACUUUCUGGCCUACUGUAUAGUCAUGAAAAAUAACCUUAAGCUAUAUCCUGAAGCAGUCUUGCCAGGAUUCCUGUCAGGAGUUCUUUGGGCAAUAGCCACCUGCUGUUGGUUCAUAGCUAACCAUGCUCUCAGUGCUGUGGUCAGUUUUCCGAUAAUCACUGCUGGUCCAGGAUUUAUAGCUGCAAUGUGGGGUGUCUUCAUGUUUAAGGAAAUACAGGGUCUACGAAACUACCUAUUGAUGAUAUUUGCAUUUUUCAUCAUCUUGUCUGGAGCAUUAUGCACGGCUUUCUCCAAAAUCUAACAAUCACAAGACCAGCAGAUGGCAGCAGUGGGUAAGAGAACCCUGCUACAGGACUUGAGUGAUUAUGCUGAGAACAGAGUUUAUUUUCUUCCAGCAGAGGGAUCUCAACCCGUCUUGGAUUGGGUUUGUUUCUUGAAUUCUGAUGUUAUACCAUUUAGUUCAGAGAAAUUUAUUCCAGUUAGAUCUUCGUCACAGAAGGCACUGUGAACCUCUGAGACAUUAACAAAAGAACCCAUUGCAAGCAGAGACUAGAUAAGCAUAUGCUGACCAGGGCCUGUCCUCAUGGAAGGCUGCUGGUGCCACUGAGAACACUGGUCUGGCCCUCUUCGAAAGUAAGAGAACCUGUGAAGAGAGGAUCCCAGCCAUCCAGUAGUUCCCUCCGGCUGCAUGAGCGAGUGCUAACAAUAUCAACAGAAGAACCUCCCAAGCCAUCUACAGAACCCUGAGAAACAGUAAUUAUUUAAGCCACUGAAUUUGAAUUUGUUACACAGCAAUAGCUAUCUGACACUUAGUCUAUAUUUAAAUUACCCUGAUUGUUAAAAUAACGUCCCUUAUAGCUUCUUAUCACUUUUUUGAUCCAGAUCCAUUCAAGACUUACACACUGAAUUUAGUUAUCAUGUUUCUUUACUGCCUUUUUAUUUAUACCAAUUCCCUGUUCUAGCUGUUUUUAUCUUUAAUGAUAUUGACUUUUUUAUUAAAGAAUCUCAGCCUGUUGUCUUAUAAAAUAGUCUGUAAUCUUGAUUUGUCUGAUUAUUUCCUUAUGAAUAGCUGUAGUUUAGAUAUUUUUGUCAGACUACAAUAGUUAAUGUGAUAGACUUCCCAUUAUAUCAAGAGAGGUGCUGAGUUUGAUAAUUUGAUUGAAGUGUUUCCUAUCAGACUUACACAUUGUUAAAAAAAUACUUUGAGAGUUUGUUAAUACCCUGUUCCCCACCCAACUUUCACGCAUUGGCACCCAGUGAU